GGCGGGGUGAGAAGGCUCCGCGCCGGUAAAGGGGCCGCCCGAGCGCGGUCCGAGCCAUCUACUGCUGCGGGUCCCCCGGCCCUCCCGACUCGCCGCCCGCCCCUUCGCCGCCCGCCGCCGUCACUCAGGGAAACGGGCUGCGACCGCCCGCCGACCCCAAGCUGGUUUCAUGGCAGCCGCGAAGAAAGCAGUUUUGGGGCCGUUGGUGGGAGCAGUGGACCAGGGCACCAGCUCGACGCGCUUUUUGGUUUUCAAUUCAAAAACAGCCGAACUACUUAGUCAUCAUCAAGUGGAAAUAAAACAAGAGUUUCCAAGAGAAGGAUGGGUGGAGCAGGACCCUAAGGAAAUUCUGCAUUCUGUCUAUGAGUGUAUAGAGAAAACGUGUGAGAAACUUGGACAGCUCAAUAUUGAUAUUUCCAACAUAAAAGCUAUUGGUGUCAGUAACCAGAGGGAAACCACUGUAGUCUGGGACAAGUUAACUGGAGAGCCUCUCUACAAUGCUGUGGCUGCUCCAGUUUCUCCUGGCCCUUCAGAUCCAGUUGCCGUUGUUCCCUCUGGCUCUUCAGUUCCAGCUGCUGGCGCUGCCUCAGUGUGGCUUGACCUAAGAACCCAGUCUACCGUUGAGAGUCUUAGUAAACGAAUUCCAGGAAAUAAUAACUUUGUCAAGUCCAAGACAGGCCUUCCACUUAGCACUUAUUUCAGUGCAGUGAAACUUCGUUGGCUCCUUGACAAUGUGAGAAAAGUUCAAAAGGCAGUUGAAGAAGAUAGAGCUCUUUUUGGGACCGUUGAUUCAUGGCUUAUUUGGAGCUUGACAGGAGGAGCCCGUGGAGGUGUCCAUUGUACAGAUGUAACAAAUGCAAGCAGGACGAUGCUUUUCAACAUCCAUUCUUUGGAAUGGGAUAAAGAGCUCUGCGAAUUUUUUGAAAUUCCAAUGAAAAUUCUUCCAAAUGUCCGGAGUUCUUCUGAGAUCUAUGGCCUAAUGAAAAUCUCUCAUAGUCUGAAAGCUGGGGCCUUGGAAGGUGUACCAAUAUCUGGGUGUUUGGGGGACCAAUCUGCUGCAUUGGUGGGACAAAUGUGCUUCCAGGAUGGACAAGCCAAAAACACGUAUGGAACAGGCUGUUUCUUACUAUGUAAUACAGGCCGUAAGUGUGUAUUUUCUGAACAUGGCCUUCUGACCACAGUGGCUUACAAACUGGGCAGAGACAAACCAGUGUAUUACGCGUUAGAAGGUUCCGUAGCUAUAGCCGGUGCUGUUAUUCGCUGGCUAAGGGACAAUCUUGGAAUUAUAAAGACCUCUGAGGAAAUUGAAAAACUUGCUAAAGAAGUAGGUACUUCUUAUGGCUGCUAUUUCGUCCCAGCAUUUUCAGGACUAUAUGCACCUUAUUGGGAGCCCAGUGCAAGAGGGAUCAUCUGUGGGCUCACUCAGUUCACCAAUAAAUGCCAUAUUGCUUUUGCUGCAUUAGAAGCUGUUUGUUUCCAAACUCGAGAGAUUUUGGAUGCCAUGAACCGCGACUGUGGAAUUCCUCUCAGCCAUUUGCAGGUAGACGGAGGAAUGACCAACAACAAAAUUCUGAUGCAGCUACAAGCAGACAUUCUGUAUAUCCCAGUAGUGAAGCCCUCGAUGCCCGAAACCACUGCUCUGGGAGCUGCCAUGGCAGCAGGGGCUGCAGAAGGGGUUGGCGUUUGGAGUCUGGAACCUGAGGACUUGUCAGCUGUCACAAUGGAGCGGUUUGAACCUCAGAUCAACGCUGAGGUGUUUACAGUCCUUUCAUGUAGGAGGAUAACACUGCCACACUAUCAGUUCUAGCUUGUUAGUGUAGCCUUUCCUGACAGUGACAAGGGAGAUAUAUCGGCCACCGACUCCUCAUGUCUGCAUCGGAUCAUCUUUGGUGCCAGUGGCCAGUUUUAGGACAGGAUUAUGUGGGAAAGUGAAAUUCGUUAUUCUACGUGGAAGAAAGCUGUGAUGAAGUCAAUGGGUUGGGUUACAACUCAGUCUUCAGAAAGUGGUAUGCCAUAAAUACUACCAACUCAUGGAUUCCAAAGAUGCGAGCUCUUUACCUACCGAGAGAAUCCAGUGAUUCUGUCUCUUAAUGUGAUGACACUACUCAUAGACUCUGAUUUUAUUUAUAAGCCACUAGCUGCAUGACCCUCCAAGUAGACCUGUGGCUUGAAAUAAAGUAAAUGCAGCAGAAAGAAUGCUAUAGAAACAUUUGGUGUGUUUUUUAACAUCGGUAGUUAAGAUUGGACCAGCUACCUUUGGGGCUGACCCGCUCCUUUGCCAUCAUUUCCUGCCUCAUUCCCUCUAAGAUCUAGGAAUAAUUCAGAUCCUGUCCAUUGGAAUCUUUUAUCACAUAUAUUCAAACUCUGAUGGGCCAGGAUUUGAUUCCUGAACUACACAUGCUUGAUUAAGGGGCUGUUACUAAUGGGCUAAAAAUUUGUGACCUUUUGUUUGCUUCUUUUUAACAGACCCCCCUACCCAAAGUCCUCUUUUCUGCAUAUUAGGGAGACCACAGCAUCUUCACUGAAUGUUUAAAUGGAAGCCUCUACUAAAUUCUUAAAAUGGAAAUUUAGUACCCUCAUUGCUUUGGUAUUUCGCUGAAAAGUAUUUGCCAAAACUGAAAAUUCUUCAUAUAUUGUAUUUAACGUGGUCUCACUAAUUACACUGAAUUGCUCUCUGGAUCUUAUAGGGAAGGACACUUUCCUUUUUUUUUCUUUCAUCUCUCCUUUUUAUAUAUUUUUUUACUUUGUAUGUCUAACGUACAUGCCUAUAUAUUUUAUAUACCGAGGGUAGCCCAUUUAUAAAAAGAGUACGUGUUCUCACUAAUUACACUGAAUUUCUGUCUGGAUCUUAUAGGGAAGAACACUUUCUUUUUUUUCUUUUUGUCUCUCCUUUUUAUAUUUCUUACUUUGUAUGUGUAACAUACAUGCCUUUAUAUUUUAUAUACUGAGGGUAGCCCAUUUAUAAAUUAAGAGCACACUGUAUUCGGUAGGUUAUAACGGGGCUGGUCUUAAGUGGACCUCUAUGUGUAUAAAUAUUUUGGAGAAAACAGCUGUAUACAUUUUUGGGCAAUGGUUAUGCAUAUUAUUUACCAGGAGAAACUUUUUCUUAAAAAGCCAACAUUUAAAAUUUAAGUAUAUGUUCUAUGUCAAUAAAAGAAAAUAUACUUUAUUGUGACUAUAAUUUCUUAUACCAUACUUUUAUAUGCUAAAAAAGAAAAGAGAAAAAACUGUGGAAUACUACAGCAAACAUUGUUUUCAAAUACAAGCACUAGUUCAUAUAAAGUUAUUUUUCCUUUGACGUAAUUUUACACAUAUUUAGUAUAUUUUGAGGGGAUGUCAAAAAAUGUUAAAAUACUUAAGUAGAAAAAAAAGCCAAGAAUCUCUUUCUCUCCAAGUAUGUUAUCAAUUGCUGAUAAGCAAUUAAAAUUUCUAUUUGAGAUAACAGAUAGCUAUCUCUGCUUAUUGUCAUAUUACAACUGAAAAAAAAAAAGGUUUUAUUGAUAGAAAUGGCUUCUAGCAAAACCAAGAAUUUCUUUCUGCCCCCCACUGACAACCAAGAAUUUCUCAAAAAAUUUAAUGUUAUGUGUUGUAAAAACGUAACCUAAUCUAGCUUCUUAAUGUCAAUUUAAAAAUAUCUUAAAAUUAAUUUGUGUUUACUACAAACAAGAAGAUACUGCCUUCUAAUUAUUUUCUUCAAUCAGUGAUGAAAAUGGGAAAAUAUUUAUAUAUUAAUAUAAAAGGUUUUGUUUUGUUUGGAAUUAAUGUAGCUUUCAUUUGCAGUUCUGAUUAUGCUGUUUCUAAAUUAUUGAAUCUGCUGGGUUUUAUUGACACAGCUGCCACUUUAGUGAUGUAAAUAUUAUAGAAAGGUACUAUGAAAUUAUUACUUUGUGGCAAGGAUACUUUUAAACAUAAUUAUGUUUCUACAAAGGUAGGUUGAGUUAAUGUAAAUAGUUGUGAAAAUCAUUGUUCAAAUAAUUUUAAGAUUACAUUAAUUUUUUAUAAAUUGCAAUAUUUAUAAAUGUUUGAAAUUAUACACAUUGAUAUUUAAUGAUAAAUUUACUUAAAAUAAAUCAACCUUCAUUCUUACUUGCAUUUCUCAUUUACAGACUAGAACUUAGAUCAAAGUUAAAUUGAGAAAGAAAUUGCAGGACAUGUGAAGCUCAGCUGUUAGCACUUGAUCAGGCACACUCUGAAGAAUUAACCGACAGCCGAAGAAGUAGUUUCUGGAAUGAUGAGCACCUUACUCGUUCUGUUAGAAAAGACUACAGUGUCCCAUCUCAGCAUCCAGAAAAUACCCUGCUGAGGUCAGCAGCCUUUAUCAAUAGGGUCUUGUGGUCAUGGCUAACCAUGACCUACUGGUUCCACUCUCUGCUUCAGUUUCUCUCUACCUGGGUGAUUGGUGGAGUGAAGUACACCACUGUUCUCUGAACACAAUAGCCAACACCUCAACCUUUUUUUUCUCCAGGUAAUCAGUAACAUAAGUAAUGCAUUUUUGCUUCUGUAAUAAUAUCUUAGAAUUUUUUAGUGUGUUUCUUUUGAAAUGCCUAAAGGUCAGUUCUUUGGCUUAUGGGUAUUUUGUAUCAUGUGGGAAUGAAGAAUGAUAGCUAUUUAGGAGGGACCACCAAUCAAAAUAUGUCAUAGCACAGAAACUGUAACAGUAUUGGCAGUCUAGUCGGUAGUAUUUACCUCACAGUGUCUACCUAAUCGUAAAUAGAAGUUCAAAAAUUAUUAUUUUUAUAGCUUUAAUGAGUUAUAAUUGAUAUACAGAAAACUGUACAUAUUUAAUGUAUAUACUUUGAUGAGUUCAGACAUAUGCAUACACCCAUUAUCCCAUUACCACAAUCAAGGUUAUAAACAUAUCUGUCACCUCCAAAAUUUUUCUUAUGUCCCUUUGCUUGUUGUGUUUGUGUGUUAAGAAUGCUUAACAUGAGAUCUACCCUCUUACAUUUUAAAAUAUUUAUUUAUUUAUUUUUGGCUGCAUUGGGUCUUUGUUGCUGCGUGUGGGCUUUCUCUAGUUGUGGUGCGUGGGGGCUACUCUUCGUUGCAGUGCGCGGGCUUCUUAUUGCGGUGGCUUCUCUUGUUGUGGAGCACGGGCUCUAGGCGCGCAGGCUUCAGUAGUUGCGGCACACAGGCUCAGUAGUUGUGUCUCUUGGGCUCUAGAGCUCAGACUCAGUAGUUGUGGCGCACGGGCUUAGUUGCUCCGCAGCAUGUGGGAUCUUCCUGGGCCAGGGCUCGAAGCCAUGUCUCCUGCAUUGGCAGGCGGAUUCUUAACCACUGUGCCACCAGGGAAGCCCUACCCUCUUAAAUUUUUAAGUGCACAAUACCAUAUUGUUAACUGUAGGCACUAUGUUGUACAACAGAUAUCUAGAACUUAUUCAUCUUGUGUAAUUAACUUCAUAUCCACUGAACAACUCCCCAUUUCCCCCUCACCCCAGACCCUGCUAGGCACCAAUCUCUUUUCUGUUUCUAUGAGUUUGACUUUUUAAGAUUCCACACAUGAAGUAAGAUCAUGCAGUAUUUCUUUCUGUGUCUGGUUUAUUUCACUUAGCAUAAUAUCUUCCAGGUCCAUCGAUGUUGUCACAAAUAGUAGAAUUUCCUUCUUGUUUUAAGGCUGAUCAAGAUUCCACUGCAUGCAUAUACCACAUUUUCUUUAACCAUUCAUCUGUCAAUGGACAUUUGGGUCGUUUCUAUAUCUUGGCUGUUGUGAAUAAUGCUGCAGUGAACAUGGGAGUGUAGAUACCUCUUCAAGAUCCUGAUUUCGAUGCUUUUGGAUAUAUACUCAAAAGUGGGAUUGCGGGAUCAUAUGGUAGUUCUAUUUUUAAUUUUUUUGAGGAAUCCUCAUACUGUUUUCCACAGUGGCUGUACCAUUUUACAUUCCCACCAACAAUGUUACAAGUGUUCCAAAAAUUAUUUUUUAACUAGAACUUUGUAAUAACUUGUUUUAACUAAUAAUAUUUAAGUAAUGAAGUUUACUUGAUCCGUUCUAGCAACCUAACAAUUUGUAAGGUCACAUAACAGGCAAUUAUUGGAAAACUGAGUGGCUUUUUAAAAACCAACUUGGUUGCUACUUGGUCUAUACUUUAUAGGUAUAUAUCUUAGUUCUGGUCUUAUGAUAAAGUAUAAAUUGUGUUAAGUAUCAGAGACAAAAAACUCUCGCAAGUGUUUCCAAACAUUUCCCUGUCAUCAGAUUUAGUGAAAAUGACCUAUUAAAUUAAAUUUGGGGACUAUAAAGAUAAAUAUUCUGAGAAGCAGAAGAUAGUUUAAAAACAAGUUGCUCAACUAGACCAAUAUCUCUAUUUACCAGUUUUCAUCCUAUUUCAGGUAACUAGUUCUACCUGACAGCAUAAUAGUUGAGGAUAACAAUAUUUUUCAGUUUUCCUGUAUAGUAUUAAAAUUAAGUAGCUUCUUUUAUUCCCCAUUAUUAAACCUGAUAUUAUUUAUCUCAUUGAUUGCUUAUUAUGAUAUGACUAGUUUACAAGUAGAUUUCAUAAAUAUCAGAUCACUUAAAUCAUCUCCAAAACAUUCAUCAAAAGGAGACUGGUUAAAUUAACUGUGCUACAGCCACACAAUAUAGAACAUGUAGCUUUAGAAAAGCAUGAGGAUGCUGUCUAGAAACAUGGAAACAUCCAAGGUAAGUGAAAACGCAAGGUGCAGAGGAGUGCGUAAGUGUGCUACCUUUCCAUUUAAAAAAGCAAGAAAAAGAAAUCUAGGAUGUUUGCCUGUGCCAGAAGGACACAUAAGGAAAUUGGGAAGCUGCUGCAUAGCACAGGUAGAUCAGCUCGGUGCUUUGUGACCACCUAGAGGGGUGGGAUAGGGAGGGUGGGAGGGAGACGCAAGAGGGAGGGGAUAUGGGGAUAUAUGUAUACGUACGGCUGAUUCACUUUGUCAUAAAGCAGAAACUAACACACCAUUGUAAAGCAUUUAUACUCCAAUAAAGAUGUGGGGGGAAAAAAAAAGAAGCUGUUAAAUAGUACUGGAACAGAAUGCAGUGAUCAGGCAUGUGGGACACAGGAGUAGGGAAAAACAUAAAAGUUAUGUAUUUGAACCGUGUUAAUUGCUAGUAUGUGUAAUAUUGAACCAUGUUAAUAUAUUAACUGUUUGCAAAACUAAUUUUAAAUUUUUGAACUUAAAUUCAGAGGCCAUUGUACAUGAAUGUUCAUGACAGCAUUAUUCAUAACAGCCAACAAGGAAAUAACCCACAUGUCUAUCAGCUGAUGAAUGGAUAAGUGAAAGUUGGUAUAUCCAUACAAUGGAAUAUUAUUCAGGUAUAAAAAUGAAUAAAGUACCAGAUACAUGCUACAACAUAAAUGAACCUUGAAAACUGCACAAAGUGAAAAAAGUCAUGUACAAAAAGCCACAUAUUGUAUGAUUCCAGUUGUAUGAAAUGUCCAGAAUAGACAAAUCCAUAGAGACGGAAAGUGGAUUAGUGGCUGCCAGAGUCUGGGGGGAGGGGAAAGGGGACGUGAUUGCUAAUGGACAGGGUUUCUUUUGGGGUGAUGAUUGCACAACUUUGUGACUAUACUAAAAACUGAAUUAUACACUUUAAAGGAGUGCAUUUAUGGUAUAUGAAUUAUAUUUCAAUAAAAAUGUAACUUUAAUUUGCAUUUACGUAAAAUAAAUAUACAUGACCAGUCCCCGAUGGCGUGUGAACUUGUAGGCCCUGAAAUGAGCCCUCUGAAGGAAAUAAAUUUUAUUUGCUCCUUGAAAAAUGGAGGUUAAUAAAUUUAUCUCCUUUUUAUUUCACUUUCAUUAACUAUUUUUUAAGUAUCUAAUACUGGAAAUAAGAAAAAUGCUUUAGUCACUGAUACAUAAAAGAUUAUGAUGAAGUAGAAGAUCUGGGCUCCCAUUCAGUUUCCCAGGCGUUUUCAUGGUCUGUCCAAUAGAAUAUAGUGAUAAAAAGGACGCAGCUAACUCGUUUUCCCCAAAGACUUGGUAAAUGAAGAGGCAGUCUUCUGAACGUAUUAAGCAAAUCAUAUCACUAUAAUUACCAGUAACUUGACUUCUAGUUACGAAACUAUGCUGUUUCCUAAUUUUCUUGAAAGUUUAGCCUCAUCUGUUUAUCAUCUUCUUUCUCCUCAAACUCAUUUUAAACCUUCAGCCUUUCAUUAAUUUACCACCACAUCUUUUUCUUUACUACUGUUUAUAGGAGGAAACAAUAGGUCUGUUUGUCAUCUACCUCUUCAAAUAAUUGUAAAUCUAAUUCAAAUGGCAGUGAAUGUUUACAAGUUCACACUCUACAUCACUGGUUUCUCAACAGCCGAGGGAGCGCUUUGUAAAAUGAGCAUUCCUGUCCAUUUAAUUCUUUUGAUCAAAUUGUUUGUUUGGAAAUCAGAGUAAUACUGCUCUUAGAAAAAUUAGAAGAUAAGAGGUUACAAAGAAUAGUAGAAAAUCAUUUAUUUUUUCCCCAAACUUUAAGGUGGUAUUUUCAUAGAUCUUGAAUGUUCAUAAACUUUACAUAAAAAUUUUAACCUGCACAACAAUACAACGUGUCGUGUAUGGACACAUACAGUUGAACUAGAAGUAUGAAACUUGCAUAGGGAUGAUAGAUACCAAGUUUAGGAUGGUGAUUACUUCUGGAAGGCAGAGCAUGGAAUCAGGGCAAGAGACUUCACUGGAACCUGAAAAGUUGUGUUUCUUAAAAAGUUAAAAGCUAAAGCAAAUAUAGCGAAAUCUUAAGAUUUGACUGAGUGGUGGGGUACGGAUGUAUUUACUAUAUUCUCUACUUUUCUGUAUGCUUGAAAUAUUUCAUAGUAAAAAUAUAAGGUGUAUCGUCCUCCUAAUUAUAUGUAUCUAAGUCCACCACUCACUGUCCAUUAGUGUAAUUUUGUUUAUCCUGGCACCCUUCCCAAUUAAAAGGGCUGAAAUCUUA